UACGAAGGGGGCUAGCGUUGCUCGGAAUUACUGGGCGUAAAGCGCACGUAAGCGGCUCUUUAAGUCGGGGGUGAAAUCCUGGAGCUCAACUCCAGAACUGCCUUCGAUACUGAAGAGCUUGAGUCCGGGAGAGGUGAGUGGAACUGCGAGUGUAGAGGUGAAAUUCGUAGAUAUUCGCAAGAACACCAGUGGCGAAGGCGGCUCACUGGCCCGGUACUGACGCUGAGGUGCGAAAGCGUGGGGAGCAAACAGG
rnacentral:rRNA from 1 species